rnacentral:rRNA from 1 species
UGGGGAAUAUUGGACAAUGGGCGAAAGCCUGAUCCAGCAACGCCGCGUGAGGGAUGACGGCCUUCGGGUUGUAAACCUCUUUCAGUAGGGACGAAGCUAACGUGACGGUACCUACAGAAGAAGCACCGGCCAACUACGUGCCAGCAGCCGCGGUAAUACGUAGGGUGCGAGCGUUGUCCGGAAUUAUUGGGCGUAAAGGGCUCGUAGGCGGUUUGUCACGUCGGGAGUGAAAACUCGGGGCUUAACUCCGAGCCUGCUUCCGAUACGGGCUGACUAGAGGUAUGCAGGGGAGAACGGAAUUCCUGGUGUAGCGGUGAAAUGCGCAGAUAUCAGGAGGAACACCGGUGGCGAAGGCGGUUCUCUGGGCAUUACCUGACGCUGAGGAGCGAAAGUGUGGGGAGCGAACAGGAUUGGAUACCCUGGUAGUCCACACCGUAAACGUUGGGCGCUAGGUGUGGGACUCAUUCCACGAGUUCCGUGCCGCAGCUAACGCAUUAAGCG